GUGAAUCAUCGAAUCUUUGAACGCAAAUUGCACUCCCUGGUAUUCCGGGGAGUAUGCCUGUUUGAGGGUCGUUAGAACAAAAAUCGAAGCGUCGCUCUUUUUUUUUAAGGAUGAUCGCGUGGGAAUGGAGCGGUCUUUAAAAUGUUAAGGCAUGUAAAAGUGGCUUAAAAUUAAUCUAUCCGGUACGAUUAAAGCGAAUUUAAGAUCAAUUUUAAUUAAGAACGCGCGAUGAAG
rnacentral:misc_RNA from 1 species